UAUGAAAUCCCUGUGUUAUGCUGAAAUACUAGGAAAAGGUCCUCAAGUCUGCCUUGAUCCAGUUGCCAGACCAACUUCAAGUCUCCUGCUUGCUUUGCAAGUGACCUGAUGAGCAAGAUCAGGUCCACAGGAGAGACCGGCUUUGUGCAGUUGGCUCACAUGAGCUCCAGGUGCUGAUCCAGGAAUGCAUCUUAAUGAUGUGGAGGUUACCUUGGAUGUAGAAGCAGAGUGACUGGCACAUGCCCCAGCCUCCCCAGGAUGACUUACUUGGAGGCUCACUGAGCUCAUCAGUCUAUCACACCGAGGACUUGGAGGAAGCACGCCACACAUAGAAGCCAGGCUGUUGGAUUUGUUUAACAACCUUGUAUGACCCAAAAAGCAUUGGUUGGCUACCCAUGCCGUGUGAAGCCCUGUCUGUCUCAUGGGGUGAGGGCAGGGGAAGUGGGUGAUUUAUACCACUAUUGUUCCUCCACACCACACUGGGAUAUUUGUAGAUAUUAUUCCCCACAUUAAGAACAAUGUGAGCUAUUUUUCUGUGAACUGCCUGGUUGACCCUGCAGUCAGUAAUUUCCUGACACUCAAACCCAUUCAGGCAAGCCCCAGGUGGCCUUGGGCUAGAAGGACAGAUGCCUGGCUCCUUGGAUUCAUGUCCUUCCAAGCAGGAAUUGUGAGAGUGCAGGCGCCAAGAAUUGAGGAAGAGGGAAAAAAAAAAGUCUUGUUCUCGUGCUCAAUGUGUUUUCCAUAGGGUGCUGGCCACACAGUCCAUGGGGAUAUACUGCAAACUGGACCUUGUGCACUGGAUGGGGGAGUGG